AGCGAACGCUGGCGGCAGGCCUAACACAUGCAAGUCGAGCGGCCGUAGCAAUACGGCAGCGGCAGACGGGAGAGUAACACGUGGGAACGCGCCCUUCGGUUCGGAAUAACCCAGGGAAACUUGGGCUAAUACCGGAUACGCCCUUACGGGGAAAGAUUUAUUGCCGAAGGAACGGCCCGCGUCCGAUUAGCUUGUUGGUGAGGUAACGGCUCACCAAGGCGACGAUCGGUAGCUGGUCUGAGAGGAUGACCAGCCUCACUGGGACUGAGACACGGCCCAGACUCCUACGGGAGGCAGCAGUGGGGAAUAUUGGACAAUGGGCGCAAGCCUGAUCCAGCCAUGCCGCGUGGGUGAUGAAGGCCCUAGGGUUGUAAAGCCCUUACGGCGGGGAAGAUAAUGACGGUACCCGCAGAAGAAGCCCCGGCUAACUUCGUGCCAGCCGCCGCGGUAACAC
rnacentral:rRNA from 1 species